rnacentral:rRNA from 1 species
UUGGAUUCGCUAGUAAUCGCGCAUCAGCCAUGGCGCGGUGAAUACGUUCCCGGGCCUUGUACACACCGCCCGUCAAGCCAUGGGAGCCGGGGGCGCCUGAAGUCCGGGACCGCGAGGACCGGCCUAGGGCAAAACUGGUAACUGGGGCUAAGUCGUAACAAGGUAGC